rnacentral:rRNA from 1 species
AUUGAACGCUGGCGGCAUGCCUUACACAUGCAAGUCGAACGGCAGCACGGGGGCAACCCUGGUGGCGAGUGGCGAACGGGUGAGUAAUAUAUCGGAACGUGCCCUAGAGUGGGGGAUAACGUAGCGAAAGUUACGCUAAUACCGCAUACGAUCUACGGAUGAAAGCGGGGGAGUCGCAAGACCUCGCGCUCAUGGAGCGGCCGAUAUCUGAUUAGCAGUUGGUAGGGUAAAAGCCUACCAAGGCAUCGAUCAGUAGCUGGUCUGAGAGGACGACCAGCCACACUGGGACUGAGACACGGCCCAGACUCCUACGGGAGGCAGCAGUGGGGAAGUUUUGGACAAUGGGCGCAAGCCUGAUCCA